CCGCCGCCGCGGCUCGCGGGCCUUGGGCUCCCCCGAAGCAUGAGCCUCCCGACCCGCCGCCGCCGCCGCCAGCGAGCACCGGGCCUCCGGGCGCGCAGCCUCAGGAUCGCCGGAGCCCGGAGCGCGGGCGCCCGCGGCAGGCAAUCUGUGGGCGACCGUGUCUGCGGGAGACUUCACCAUCCGUCCUCCAGGACGUGGGGAGAGAGAACCAGUAGCUCCCCAUCCCCUCCCGCUCCGCCACCAUUUCGGACACCCCGAAGGCGCAUGAUUUGGGAUUCCAUCUGACUGCCAGGAAGCACACGAACUCCUCUGACUCCAGCUCGGGCAGCCACCUGUCUUUGCCUCGGUGACCCUUUUUCUCAUGACCCUGCGGUGCCUCGAGCCCUCCGGGAAUGGCGCGGAAGGGACACACAGCCAGUGGGGGACAGCAGGGUCGACCGAAGAGCCGUCCCCGGAGGCGGCGCGUCUGGCGAAGGCCCUGCGCGAGCUCGGUUACACAGGAUGGUACUGGGGAAGUAUGACUGUUAAUGAAGCCAAAGAGAAAUUAAAAGAAGCGCCAGAAGGAACUUUCUUGAUUAGAGAUAGUUCACAUUCAGACUACCUACUAACAAUAUCUGUUAAAACGUCAGCUGGACCAACUAAUCUGCGCAUCGAGUACCAGGAUGGGAAGUUCAGACUGGAUUCUAUCAUAUGUGUCAAGUCCAAGCUUAAACAGUUUGACAGCGUGGUUCACCUGAUUGACUACUAUGUGCAGAUGUGCAAAGAUAAGCGGACGGGCCCGGAAACCCCCCGAAACGGGACCGUUCACCUUUACCUGACCAAACCGCUGUACACGUCCGCACCGUCCCUGCAGCAUCUCUGCCGGCUCACCAUUAACAGAUGCACCGGUACCAUCUGGGGACUGCCUUUACCAACCAGACUAAAAGAUUACUUGGAAGAAUAUAAAUUCCAGGUAUAAGUGUUUCUCUUUUUCUACACAUGCCUCAUUUAGAGUCUCUCCGAAUGCAGCUAUGUAAAAGAGAACCAAAACUUGAGUAACUGAUCUGGAAUGCUGCCACAGAACCCUUGCUAAGAACAGCUGAAGUCAAUCUAAUUUAAAUGCGUGAAGAGGUAGUUAGGUAUUUAAAGUUCCCUUAGAUAGUUCCACCUACCUGAGUAAUGCUUUUUUUCCUAGGGUUGACCAAGUCUGGUUGAACUGUUUAAAUUCAAAAAAUAAAAUGUCCCAAAGUAAAGGCCAAGGGAGCAUUUUAUCAGAACAUCUUGCCUUUCUGAAGUUCCUUUGCAUUAGGUCAAAGGCACCAGUAGGUAGUAAAGUGCCCCUCAAAGAGCUCCUCACGCAGUACUGAAAAAGAGAGAAAUCCAGCCAACACAGGCAUGACUUUAGUUCUGAAUGCCUGCCCGUCAGUCUGUGCUAGGAUGUGUUACAUUUUGCAUACUGGUGUACCUUGGUAUUUUGUUAAACAGACCAUGCUUGUAUUUAUCCCUUAUUUUAUGCAAUUAACCAAGCCAGCCAAAACAAGUGACCAUGAAAUCCUGUAUUUGUCUUUUUACUACACGUAUGAACUCUCUCCGUGAAUGAGUACUGUAGUAAUCUACUUUAAGGGAGCCUUAUUUCAGAACUAUUUCAAACUGGUGCAAACGGAAAAGACUUCCUCUUUUCCUUUAAGGCUAAAGACAAGAAUGUCCUCCUAUACAGGUGCAAUUCAAUCCCUGUUCAUAGAAACCAAGGUUGAUACAGACAUUUUAACCUUUGAAGUAACUGUGUCCCAGAACUAUUGCCAUUGAUCUUUUGGAAAUUUCCAAGUUGUCCUUGAAUUGUCUAACCAUGGACAUCAGCAGUUGUUUCCCUUCUACUAUUACCUUUGGCUUAAUUUUCUUCCAGAUGUAAGGGAAUACCUGCCUUGUUUUUCAAAGCGUUUAUUUACUGCUGUUACUAUUUGAUUAGAAUGUAUGAAAUAAAAGAAACCCUGACUUUUACAAGUUGCAUGUAUUACUUUGAAUUGCAGAGAACAUACAUUUUCAUGGUAAUAGAGGGCUGCCGUAAAACCUAUUACCAAGUGAUGUAAGCCAAACAUUCAGCAAGAAGUAAAACAUAACUCGCCAUUCUCUAAAGUGAGGGGUGUGCCCACCCGUUUGCAUUUUGGAAAGCAUAAUUCAGAAACUGCAAGAAUGACCCCAUGGCCUGGUCUUUUGCAGGUUGCACAGGCAUUGCAUUGAGGUCCUUCCUGUUUCCAAAAAUGUGGCUUAGAAACUACAAAGAUGGUGUCUCGGCCUGGCCUUUUACAAGCUGAGUACACAUAGUACUAAAUAAAAAUUGGAAGUUUUAUGGCCACUUUCUCUUUUUGCUACAGUCUCGUGACUGUUAGGAACCUGCUAUCUUUUCUGGGAAUCCUGACAUCACUCAUUCUGCCUUUUCAAAAUUGCCUGCCAUAGCUAAAUACCAGAUCAUGUCAUCAAGAAAGGUGAACCCGGUCUAUUCUGUGUGGACCCUGAGUGAAUGGAAAGUUCAACUACAAAUUAUAAGAGAACUUGGUCAUUAUAGCCCAUACUUUUAUUGAGAACUUAAAAUCACAAAAGUUUUGGGCCUGGAAGGAAAGAAAGAAAACAUACCCUGCAUCCAAACCGAAGAGCCAAACAUGGGCAGGCUGCUGGGUAUGUCUUAAGCGUUUAUUGUAGUCUCAAAUUUGAAGAGCUAGACUUUCACAGUCUGGUCUGUGAUACUCAGAUUCCAUUUGUCUAGGGUUCAAUGUUUGUCUGGCAAAGCUUUUACAAGAUCCCUACAUUGUAGGAUUUCUUUCAAGUUCUUUUGCAUUUUGUUCUCCCUAAUUGAAACAUUUCCAUUUUCCUAGUUAUUGGGAGGGAGGAGUCAGUGGCAGGACUUGAGUACCUGUGGGUCCUGGGAGGUUCUGUCACCUUGCCAGCCAGUGACUUAAAGAUAGAGGACAGCCCAGACUUGUCCGGAGUGUGCCAGGAAACUGAUUUCCUCAUGCUUCAGUCCUCCGGGUUCCAACAAAGUUGAUAGGUAUCAGGAAACAAUCUGGGUGUUUGUUUUGUUUGUUUACAAUGUGUGACAUUUUAUUUAUUGAGUUCAUCCUCGGUGCACCAGGCUCUGACUCAGCAUUUUGCAUGUAUUAUCUCAUUUAAUCUUUUGCAAGGCCUCAGUGAGCAAAGUCCAGGAUUAUAGGAGGGGAAUACUUCUGCACUGAUCCUGAUGAACAAGUUAGAGCAGGUUAUAAAAGGAAUCCUAAGGCUUUUUAUUGCUCCCUCCACCGGAAGAGUGGAGAUACCUUAAUUACUGCUGUUCUCUGUGGGAUCUAGUCACCCUAGCUCUGGGUCUCCCCCCCUCCUAAAAUGGGGGUCCCCUAGCAACCGGGAUGAGAACUGGUAGACAGAGGCUGACCCUUUUGCCUGAUGGAUGCUAAAUGAUUCCAUUUGACAGCCUGGUUUUACAUGGAGUGGAAUAAAAAGUUAAGAUACACACUUUUGAAAUUUCUUCGUAAUAAAACUGGAAAAUUACUCAGUGCAGGGCCGACUGGGGCAUUACUAAGAUCUUUAUUAUUGUUAAUAGUAGUGAAAAAUGUCAUAUACAGGGUCGGUUAUAUCCCCACAGACUUGAAAAUAUUUUGAUCUGAAUUUCUGUUCCAAGCAGAAGAAAGACAGUGGAGCUUUUCAUUACCAUCUCAGUGGGCACUGGUGGCUGCUUUUUAGAAAUGCACAGAAUUUUUUAGGAUUCUGGAGAGUGCAGAAAAAGGCCAUUUGGCUUGUCACGAGCCACGAGUUCUUUCUGGUGUGUCCAUAUGAAGGUUUUGACUUGGUCGGAAUUAUGUAAUUCAAAUAGGUAACAGAAUGGGCCAGUUGUUCGGGAGUGUUUGUUUUCUUGGAAAGGAUUUUCUCUGCUUUUAGAAAAUUGUACCCUGUCAGGAUGGUAGGAGACAGAGUCAUAAUCUAGUAAGCAAUCCGAGGGAUGGAAUGUCCGAGUUCCGGCCGUGCCCUUUUGGGUUGUGGGUUUAGGCACAGAACAGGUGGGGUGAGUGACCGUGCAUCUGUUGAACAGCUGGACCGAAUACUGCUGUAGGCUGAUAACGGCAAACCUUUGGGUAUGCAUGGCACAGUGGGCUGUCUGUACCAUCGAAAGCUCUAAAAGGUUUGCCAUCAUUGCUCUAGGCCCUUUACUUCCUCAGAGACCUAUAUUUGCCUGUCCCCAGUACUAACAUCCCAGGAUUUUUAACGCUUGCAGCCACUAUUCAGCUCGUAGUUUAGUUCCUCUGUUUUACUGCAGAUGACUUGCAGGGAAAGGUCUGGAGAUUUGUACACUCACGCAUACCCAGCCAACUAGCAGCUAUAAAUGCUCAGAAAGAUCUCUUCAUCUUAGGGUUGGCAUUUAUAAAAGCUGCACAUUUCCAUCCUUUGCUACAAUUAUCAGUGCUCUUACUGUGGUUUUCUUAACAUCACAUUUUUCCCCCCUGUGGAUUUGGAACCAAGCUUUUGGCAUAGCAGGUAGGAUACUUCUAGGUCUGGGGAUCUUGCCCUGCCCACCUGGAAGAAUCAGCUGCUCUGCUGGGUUUCAGUGUCUUGAUCCGCACAAGAGUUUUGUGUUAACUUUAAUUCUUCAGCAUUCCUCAUCUAUUUGCUGUUUUAGUGUGGAGGACAGCGCGAUGCCCUUGUGCCCAUGUGCCUGUGUGUCCUGCCGCCCUCACCUGGCUUUUGUCUGCUCUUGGGCAUAGUUAGUCUCUGUCUGUCUUAUGUACUUUUGUAUCAUAAAGUUGUCCAGUGAAAGAGGGAAUUAUAUUCUUCUAGAAUUGGGUCACUGACUGAUUUUGAAUACCAAAAGAUUAACUCUCUUGGUCUCUCUGACUUCCUUAGGGUAUUGAAAUGGUACACUUUUCAUGUUUUUAAGAUGUCAAGAGAUUCUUUCCUUUGGUUGUAUUUCCAGGAGGAACAAAAAUAUCGUCUGUUUCUUGUCCGUCCAUGAGAGUGGCCCUCUGUGUCCGGUCCGCUUUUACACAUGCAAUGUUUUUCUUUUCCAGUUUUUCCUCUCUGUGGCUUGAGUUGUUUCACUUUGCACUAAGAAAAAGUGACAGUCGUUGCUGGGGUAAAAGUCCUGUCCUCCCAAAUGCUUUAGAGAGUUCUAGGAGCCGGCGCUGCGCCUGCCAGCCCCUCCCCAGCUCCAUCCAGGAGGAUGAGACUCACUUCAGUAAACAUUUACUGAACCAUAAAAAUAAAACUGCUUUUCCAGACAACUCUCACUUUGUACCCUUUACUUAUAGACAGUGUCUUGCCCUGCAGCAGGGAGGGCCGGGUGUUGGGAUGGGGUACUGUGGUCCUGGCUUUGCCUCUGAGAUACAGAUCAGGGAAGUCAAGCUGGGGUCUCAGGGACAGCGAAGACACACUGCCAGCUGCUUUCUUCUCCUGUCCGAGCGUGGACGCCACCCAAGGAGUCCCUUUGCUAUGCUGCAAUGAUUUUUUUUAAGCCAUCAUGAAACUUAAUAAAUUUUCCUAAAUCAUCUCAGUUUCUAGCGGUGUUAAGAUAAAAACACGUUGCUAAAUGCUUUUUCCCUUCUGUGAGUUUGUGAUCCCUUCCCUGUUUAGAUUUCGGUUUAGAGUGCUACAUGAUCUUUAACACGCAGAAAAAUAUUUUCCAUGUUUUUGUACCCACAGUUGUUUGACUUCCCAUUUGAACAUCUCUUUUGCCACAUUUUUAUUUCUUUUUCGUCUUCUUUUCUUGAUUUCUUGAGCACCAGCCUUGGUGUGUCAUUCCAGGGUGGCCUCAAACUCAGGGUCUUCCUGCUUCAGCCUCCAGCACACAUGCCUGCUGCCAAAUUUAUAACUUAACCCUUCUUAGCUUUCCAGCAUCGCUUCUUUCUCUGUGGCUCUAGGUACUGACCAUUAGAUUUGGACAGAAACUGUGUCUGUGGUUUGCACGUGGGAUUAGCUCAUCUACUCUCCGUUAUCUUUAGUAAUAAAGUAAUAAAGGUUAGAGAGAACGGGAUCAUUGAAACCCAUAAAAACAUACAGCCAAUAUUUCCAACUUCCUCCCCUUUCAUCUUUUAUCUCCAUGGCUAGAGCCCCUGACAAAAAAAAUAGCUGCUUUCCUGUUCAUUUUAUUCUCCUUGUCUUGUUAAUAAAGUGACUUCCAGCAAAAGUGAGAAGACAGAGGUGGUGGACAGUCACUGGGAAGCCGAGGGCCUCCUGGAGCCAAUCAUCAAGCACUUGGAGAGAUUUUGUGAGCUGACUCACGAUGGACAGAUUAUUAGGUAGAUUGCACCAGCCGUGGUGUAAAUAUUUACACCACAGAAAUUGGCAGGUGCUACAAGUUAGAUCCUUCCUCUUAGAUGGCUGGGUUAACACCAGCGCCGCUCUAGAUACUAACUCUUCAGUUACUGGGCUCUCACUACAGUAAGACCAAUUUAUUCAGCCUUUUGUUUAGAGCAUAAAAUAAUGAACAAUCUAAGGACCCCCACCCCUUUUAAUGUGUGCCAAUCCGUAUUGGGCUAAUUCCCUUCUGUGGCGGAGCAAGCAGUUUUUGGAUUAAGUGUCUUGCUUGUUACGCAGUGGUAUCUGCAGGUGUCUUUUCAGAGCUUGUUAACUGGGGAGAACUGGACACUGGCAAACUUUACAGCAGCAUUCGCACCCAUACUGAGCUCUAGUAGAUCAAGGUCUCUUUGGCUUCUGGCUGUUUUCAUUUUGUUCCUUUCUUUCCUCCCUUUCCAUUCGCUUUCUUCUCUCCCUCCUUUCUGGCAAUGUUUAUUGAGUGCCUAUUAUAUUGCUCAACAGGGCAACAGAGAAGAAUAUUCUCCCAUGAAGGGAGCUCUUAUCCUCUCUACAGGAGGACAUGGAGGGGAGAGGGACACAUGGGUAUUAAUCUAAUAUGUCCCAUGUCCUACACAGGCAUUCCAUUUAAUCCACACAACAGCCUGGCCAGGUAUAGAUUACCCCAUUUAUCUAAAAUAAAAUUGAAGCUUGGAUAUGUCAAAUACUACAUUCUCUGCGUCGGGCACUCGUGGUCCAAGCCCGUGCUCUGCAUCGUCAGAUGCCAGGUGGUACAGAGGCCGUCCGAUAUGAUUAAGGUACUGGCAGUACCAGUAAAUCGUCACCAGUGAACAGUGCCAUCGGCCUGCCUCUCAGGAGGGGACCUUGAGUCUGCGCGUUAUGGGGCUGGCAGGGGUCUACAGAUGCUUGGUGAGGGAGGGCCUGGCUGUGGGCUGGAGGGGAGCAGGCGCUGCUAGGGGAUGAGCAGGUUGGUAGUGCGGGUCUUGCUGAGGACCUCAGGAUUUAUUCUGGGGGGAACCAAGGAGAGCUUUAGACAUGAGAGUAACUGAAGGAGGCUACUCCUCCCUUCGGAGGCCCUUUGGAAAAUGGGACCAAGUGAGGGCGGGGAGCACAGGUCAGACCACUGCAGGGAGGGUUGAGGAGGGACGGGUGGGGGUAGGGUGACAGGAGGACUUCCUUCCUGGUCUGCAGGCUCCAAUCUGUCCAGAGUUUGGGCCUUUGGGUAUCACAGACAUAUGCUUCCUCUGAAGACCGGCGUUCGCUUUGGGCAAGAUGGGGUAACUGGCACCCAGUCCAUGCUGAGGAAAGGAAUGCAGUGGCAUAGCCCCGAACAGGGCUUAGGAAGGCUGAGCCCAUUUCUGGUAGUUUGAUUUUGAGCCAGACAAUGAAUCUUUUAGGGCCUCAGUUAUUGCAUCUGUAAGAUUCUGGAGCUUUCUUCCUUUUUGGUCCUCUCCAGAGAGGAGCCUCAUCUGCCCAGAUGUGAAAGCAGCCGGGGCAGGAGGAGGUGGAGGAGCAGCAAGCUCCAUAUUCCUUUGAUACAAUUGUAUAGGUUUUACCUCUUUGCAGUAACAAACAAAACAAAACAACAACAACAAAAAACCAAUCACUAAAAAAAAAAAAUUGCCCCAAAUCGUCUGCUUAACUCUGGACUUCUUCACAACUCGAGCUGGCUGGCUACACUUUUAGUUAGAAGAGUUUCGUGUUUACAGGGUCGUCUUUGAACACUACCCUGUAAUCAGAGUUUGGACUUGGGCUGGUAUGUUGGUUGUGCUGAGAAACUGGCAUGGUUGUGUACUGGCCAUUAUCCUAAGAGCCCUUUGGAUGAGUUUUCAGUUUUGAAGGGACCUGAAAGCCAUCUUUGCGGCUCCCUGGCCGAUGGAACAGCUGUGCCUCCAGGAAACUGUGGAUAAAUGACAUGUUUUUGCAGGUUGUUUACGUAGGUUAUUCUAAUGUAUGACUGAUCUUCAAAGCACAGGGAUGUUAUUGACUUUUCUUUUUUAAUCUGUCAGGCAAUUCAUUUUUAAAAGAAAGUAAGCAAAACACUUGAGAUGUACUAAGGAAAUUCUUAGAUUAUUUGGUAAAAUUAAAAGAAUCUUGGCUCCCGUCUGUCUGUCCAACUUUCCUAUUUGGGCUAGAUCUGUUUUUUGUUUGUGUUUGGUUUGGGUUUUAGACAGGGUAUUGGCUACAUUGUGCAGGCUGAUCUUGAACUCCUGAACUCCACUGGUCUCCUGCCUCAGCCGGGUAAAGCCACUGCCUCUGGCUUAUCCUGGAUCUGUCUGGAAAUUUGACACAUCUCGGACCUGAUAGCUGGUGUGGCUCAGACAUGUGUGUCCCUACCGACACUCAAAGUGAAAUUAGUUACCAAUGUAACCGUGGAGUCUCUAAGAGGGAUUGAUUAAUGCUUUUCCAGUGCUUGGUCGGUUAUUGUGAGCGGGAUCAUAAAUGAGUUCAGGUUCCUCCAUGCCCUCAGGGGUCUCUCUUGUUUUCUGUCUCACUGUGUGACCGCAUUUCCCCCAGUCAUGCAUCCCCCCCUUUCCAACUUGAGACCCUCGCCAGAGGCCAGGCAGAUGCAAGCACCAUAGACUUCCAGAACUGUGAGCUAGAGAAACCUCUUUUCUGUAUAAAUCACCAUUGUUCAGACAUUCUGUUAUAGCAGCAGACGGUGGACUAAUGCAGUAUCAGGGAAGAGGGAAAGGCUCUCAGAUGGCAUGGGCAGAAAGAAGCUCUUCAUUGAGUCUGAGAUUCAGUCUAAAAGAUUGAACCUAAGUGUCAAUCUCCCUGUGUCCGAGGCAACUUUUAUGAAUGCUUUAUCAGUAAUAAUGGGCUAGUUAUGCUGCAGAACAAACAGUCCUGAACUCUUGGUGAUUUAAAAUAACAGUGACUUAUAUCUUAAAAUAACAGUGGUUCCUACAUCCAUAUAUGCCUACCAUGUGUCAACAGUGAAGCUUUUUCUUAGUAACUCAACAAGCGAGGCUGAGCCAGGCAUGGUGGUGUGUGCCUGCAUUCCCAGCUACUCAGGAGGCUGAGGCAGGAGACUUCGGUGUUUGAGGUCAGCCUGGGCAAUACAAGGAGACCCCACAUUUUAAACAAAACCCUUGAUUCAGUUAAGUACUGAGCCUCUGAGAAACUAGAGGCUCUCUUACCACAUUUAAUUAUCCUGUGCCUGCUAGCAUGGUAUAACAUGGUCUCACCCCAACAUCAAAGACCCAGGCUACACAAUUCUUUCUGUGUCUAAGGAGAGAAAAACAAAAAUACCUAAUGAGUGGCGGUAAUCACCACCAUACAUACCAGGCUCCACCUACCCCUGCUGUUUUCUCCUCCUAGCUUGGCUAAUUUGACCUCAGGCAAAGAUUUGGGAUGUUUGCAGACUUUAAUUCUGCCCUUCUUCCCCUUUGUCCCCCAGAGGUUUUUUUUCCCCAAGUACUGCAAAACCCCAUCUCUUUCCUUUGUGUGAGUCCUUUGUGAGCCAAAAGGAAAGGUCUUGAGCCUAAAGGUGAAGGGGUGUAAGUUAAAGUGCGGGCUGCUGACCUCAAGAGCUUCCAGAAGGACCGCGGGUUCCUUCUCAUUUCCAAUACGGCUCUGUGUGUCCUCAGCCUUUUGAAACUAUCAAUAUUCCAGAUAAACUAAGGACAGGCACAUGCACUUCCGGUGUUUGCUGUUGUGCUUAAUUGGCAAGAAUAUUUAAUGGUGCUAUUUUCCACCCAUUUUCAAUCCAACACAAAGGCUUUAUGGAAAUAUUACAAAUUAAGUAGUCUUUUAUGUGAUACAUCGAUACCUCAACAUCUGUUUUAUUUUGCUUGUGAGAGACACUGCAUUCCAAAUUCCAGACAACUGAUUUUCAAACUCUUGUUUUAGAAUGCAGCCUAUUUCUAGGUUAGUCUUUUUUGAUGGCAAUCUUUUUUUUGAGACAAAGUCUUGUCAUGUAGUUUGAACUGGCCUCGGGCUCAGUGAUCCUCCUGCCUCAGCCUCCCAAGUGCUGGGAUUCUAGGAAAGCACACCACCACACCCCACCCCUCUACCGCAAAUUCUCUAUACUAAGAAUCACAGAAUAAAUGCUGUUUUAAUGGACAGUUAUCCUCUACUGCAUUCAUGAGUUAACAUCUUUGAAUAAAAACAGAACAUGCAAAAAUGUAUUUCAUUUACAGCAUUACUGAACACAGUUCACUUCUUUUUCUUCAGUCCAUGUUUUAGUUUUUCUACUCCAACCCAGAUUAGAAACUUUAGUGUUACCAACUUCUUCCGUUUAUCUCUCUCGUUUAUGUAGUUUUUCAUUCUUAAGUCAUUCAAAAAUAUUUAUUGACCAUCCGCCAGUGCCAUGCACAGGGAGAGUCUUGGAGAAAGUUAGAACAAAACUUCCUGCUCCUUAGGAGAUUCUGUGUAGCAGGGACAUGUGUACAGCAACCACAGGGCAGUGGGCUCCCCCUUUGCUAUGGGGACCACACCCCAGCCCCGUAGACUCUUAAAACCAUCGAUAACACCGACCCUUACAUGUACUGUGAUUUUUCCUAAUACGUACAUACCCGUGAUCAAAUUUAAUUUAUGAAUAGGUACAGUAUGAGACUGAAAUGAAUAAGAAUGAUUAGAACCACACUAAUAAAUGUUGCUUAAAGCUUACCAUAAAAUGCUGGGUGUGAUAGCGCAUGCCUGUAAUCUCAGCUACUGGGAAGGCUGAGGCAGGAGGAUUGCAAGAUCAAGACCAGCCUGGACAAUUUAGUGAGACCCUGCUUCAAAAUGUAAUUUUAGAAAGUGUUGGGUGUAUAGCUCAAUGGUAGAGUGCAAGGCUCUGGAUUCAAUCUGCAGGACUACAGAUGAAUGUAUGAGUUAUUUUUAUGUUGGAACUUUCUAUUUAAUAUUUCAGGCCCCUGUCUGACUUCGGCAUGAAACUGGGGGAAGUGAAGUUUUGGGAUAAGGGAGGGUGUAGUUUUCACCAUUGUGCCUGACUGAGGUAGAAGAGGAUUUUGACCUGAGAUGGGUUGAUUUUUAAUUUUUAUCAGGACAGCUUUGCAGUACAUAACGAUUUAGAGAAGGACCUGGCCUGCCUGAUAAACUUUCGAUGGUGGGAACAGGGCAGCCCUUCCCUUACCUGGGAAGGGAGGAGGCAUAGAAGGUCGCAGAGCGCAGGAGUGACAGGGUUAGAUUUGGUGGCAGUGUGGGGGUCACCCCGGUGGGACAAGACUCCAGAUGAAGGUUUCUGAACGUGCUCCCUGGACUUUGCUUGGGAUCUGUGAGCAUAAAUGAGCAAACAAAAACAUGACAUUGUCAUUGUCUCCAUCCUCUGCCUGAAAUGCGGGCACAGAGGCGUGAGGUGAGUUUAUCACUUCUAGAACACUGGGCUUCCGGUAUCACUGGGGCAGUCACAGUUUAUGUCCAAAUCCAUUAAACACUUUUUACUCCACUGAAAGUAGAGUAGUCAGAGACCUACGGCCACAACAAAGAAGCACACUCUCAUCACAACUUUAAAACUAACUGGCUACUGGCCUUUUACCUUAACCCUGGAGGUCAGAACUCGAGAGCCACGGGAGUGUGACCCAGAAGGGGUCCUUGCAGCCCGAGGUAGUGACAGUGGCAGGCAGAGGGCCAGGAGGAAUCUGGGAAAGCCACAAAAGUGCCACCCAGAACUGCUGGGAGGUGAGGGAACAAGCGAGGCACCCUCCACUUCAGAGGCAGGCUGCAGCCACCAUCCCCGGGUUGUGACUUCCCUCUGCCCUCCGCACUGCUACAGUUUACAUCUUAAAACUUCUGCCAAGGGAAGACAUGUAGUGUGGCUCUCAAAAACCAAGUGGAAAAGUGCAGUAAAAAGCAAACACCUUCUGACCACCAGUCCUGCACUCUGUCUGCACCCGUGUCCUGUGGCUUCCUACCUUGAGGCCCCAAGUCCCCACCAUAGUCUUCCUAAGAGCUGUUGAGUACACGAUUAUCUGAUAGACCAUGGUUCUAAAGUCACGACCUGUUGCGUGGUCACAGUGUCAGUCAGCUACUAGUACACGUACCCUCGUCACAGAAGUUACACCCACCUUGACAUUCCGGGAGACUACUUUUACCUAAGUUCCCACAGCUUACGUCAUUUGUUUCUCAUAAAACAGUACAGAUGCAAAUAAAAAUUCCAUUUACAUGGGCUUCCUGCUUGCUUUGAUUAAAGUUAGCUUAGUGUGAUAAUGAGUUAAGAAAUACAAUUCCAGCACUUGGGAGCUGAGGCAGGGGGAUUGCCACAAGUCUGAGGCCAGCCAGCAUGGGCUACAGAGUGAAUUCAAGGCCAGCCUGGAAUAUAUGACGAGACCCUGACACAAAAAAAGAAAAGAAUGCUAUGUAAUUUUUUAAAAAUACUAAAGAUACGAAAGUGCAUUUGAAAGUUCUCCUCAUGACUUUUUUGGUUUUCUAUGCCACUUGGGUUUGCUGCUGCCCAUUCUUGGGAGCAGUGGUGGGUGUCAGGGCUGUCGCCCAUGUUGUGGACUGCAGGGCAGCUACUGUAGCCUGAGCACUUUGGUUGGCUCAUGCAGUUCCCUGCUGAGCUCCUUGUGAGGUCCAGGAAUGUAUAGUUUUUGUGGUCUGAUGCCUUUUGAUGGUUGCCAGAUAAAAUUGAUGUCUGGCACUUUUUCUAGGGAAAACACAUUUAGACAUUUCCAGGCUGAUUUGUAGAAACUUAAGUGUUUUAGGACUUUGCGGCAAACAUUUUUCUCAAGUGGCAGGAGAAAUAAAGCAACUUCAGUUCUGAGGUCUGUUAACAGCACCUUCUAAGAGCCCCAAAGCCGGAAAGGUUGACAAAAUAUGAGAUCAUUAAUAUGGACUUUCUACAAAACUAGGCAAGUAUUUUUCAGUUUCUUCCAAUACAGGAAAACGCAGUUUUAGCUACUGACACAGACAAGCCCCCAAACUUUUAGACAGAAGAACCUCUCCCUCUAUUUUCUAAUGAUAUUUCUCCAUCUAGUAACCACAAAGGACUCUGGGAGUGAAUGUGGGGGUUUCAUUGUUAUUUACUUUUCUUGCUACUUUUUUUUUUUUUUUAAGCAGGAAGAACUGGGAGAAAAUACUUGAAAAGUUAGCUUUCCGGUUGGCACAUGCAAAUCACAGCCCUUGCCUUCAUUUACAUUGUAAAUAAAUAUCUGAAGAACCAGUUAGAGAUUGUUAAGAAAGACAAGCAUUACCUGGUCCAAGAUGCGUUGCUUUUCCUUUAAAUCGACUGGCUUCUUUCCUAGCAGCAACGGCCGGCCGGCCACACGACAAGUUUUUACUUGUUGACAGUGUAGUCCAAGCCUCAGAUCACUGUUAGAGCAAAAACGUCGAUUUGUGAAAAAAAAAAAAAGUGUGAUGAAUACGUUUCAGAGUUUAGGGGAGUAAACAGCUCAGGCUUAAAAGGACUCUUUAAGCUGCAGACCUUCAAACCCGAAUUUUUCCAAAAGGCUUGACAUUUAAUUAGCAGGUUAAUGACGCAUCAGAACAGAGCUUUGGGAGGCACAAAACGCAGGCUCUCUCCUGCGCCAGAGACUGGGAAGGGACUUGACCUUGAUUUCCAUGUGCAAGGGCACAAAGAAUAAAACAAAACAAAACAGAACAGAACAAAGCAGAUCAGAACAAAACAAUGCAAUCAACACAGAAUUUCAAAACAAGACAACAGGAAAUCAACAGUGGUUACUGAAAGAGUUGCUGGCCCAGAUGGAACACUGUAACCAGAAAAGGCUGCAGCUAAACUCCUCCCCCCCCCCCGCCCCCUAUGGACUUGAUUGUAACCCUAUAUCCCCAUCCUUAAGAAUCUGUGCGCCAAUGAGAUACCUGUGCAUCUCUAAUGGCCUUAGGGCGCUGCCCUAAGCUUAGGCUAUUUAGAUGCCCCCACGCCACGUGUCCGAGAGAGUUCGCCAGAGAGAGAGUUCGCCAGAGAGAGAGUUCGCCAGAGAGAGAGUUCGCCAGAGAGAGAGAGCUCGCCGGAUUCCAGCGGCCAGCGCCGGCCAGCGCGCCAGUCUCCACUCCCCGUGUUCCCGGAGAGACCACCGGCCCCGGGUGCAGAGAUGCUGCACCCCGGGGCCGGCGGCGGGGGGCCCCCUCCCCGCAUUCCCGAAAUAAAGCCACCGCUGACCACUACUUUCAUGGCCGUCCACUCCAUUCCUCCCGCGGACUUCCCUCUCUCCCUCUCGCUCCCAUCCUCCCCCUUCUCUCAGACCUAACAGUUACCAUAAUGUUGUUUUCUUUGAAAUAGUUGUGCAUAUCGUCACACACAAUGAAUUCAAACAAGACAAAAAUAGUGUAAAACCAUUCAAAAUAAAAGAAUGGAAGCCUGCCAGGCCUUCAAAACCACAACCUGUUUCUUUAACUCUUUUUUCUCAAACUACAGGCUUCUGGACUCAGUAUUUUUGGGUGAAUUCUCUUCCCACCAGGGAGCUGCCCCAACUCCCCUGGACAGGGCCGAGAUGGAGCAGAGCUUCUGUCACAGCAGCUCCUCUGGCAUCUAUCUUUUCUCAUUAAGGAACAAAUGUCAGUACGUGAGUUCCCUUUGCAGAUCGCAUAUUUCCACAAAUCCCACACCAUCACAUGUACAAACUAGAGCUACCGCGCUGUCUGCCAAAAAAUAUUUUUAAAAAAACUUUUCCAUUACAGUGUAAUUAUCAGGAGUCGUGUUUUAUUCUGAUUCUGUUUCUGCAGCUUUAUUUGGUUUCUGGAAUCCCCCAAAUACAGCAUUGCUAACUGAAUGUAGGAAUAAACUCCAUCCUUCUUCACAUUGUAUUUUUAGUAACCGAUACUGUUUAUGUGCAAAUUUGGCACAACUUGCUUUGAUAUUUGAUUCAUACUAAUUUUUUCUGUUUUGUUUUUUUCACAAAGGAAGCCUAGAUUGGUUGGCUCAUGUGUUUUCCUUCAAAGUCCUUUCUCAGCUGACAACUGAUUAGUUAGAUCAUGGCCCAAAACAUUUAGCCAUCUUUGAAAAAAAAAAAAUUUGAUUAGCACAUGUUUGCAAUACAUGUUUACAUUUGUCUUAGGACCAAGUACAUGCACUUAACACUUCUUAAUUCUUUUUAUUUCCUUUUCCUACUUUUUCUCUACUCCUUUCCCCUCCCUUUAGCUCUGGAUCCAAUUUCUCAUAUAUCAAAAGUCUAUUUCCUUGUUAUAUCUCAACCAGUUAUGUUUUUUUGUUUUUGUUUGUUUGUUUGUUUUGAGACAGGGUCUCGUUGUGUAGCCCAGGCUGGUGUUGAACUCACGGUGAUCCUCCUGCUUCAGCCUCCAGGAUGCUGAGAUUACAUUGCACCACCAUGAACAUCUCAACUAGUUAUUUUUAGACCUGACACCCAGCCAGCCCUUGUCAUUUCUGGAGUCACGGCUUUCCCACAGGACUCUGGGGGAGGGGGAGUGUGGUGUUCUUUGGUUCUCUGAGACUCUGCAAAGACCCUGGGGACAAUACCAGCUGGUGGGGUUCGUGAAAGAGAAUGAGAUGUGUCUCGUGGCACCUGAGACUGGCGGGCGCUCAGCCAGGACCUGCCCAUUUUACAGUGGAAAAGCUCUCCAGUCUGCCAGCUUCCCUGCCUGAAAUCCAGCCCCCUCCAGGCUGGGUUGAGUCCUCUGUUGUACUUCUUUGGUACCGUGGACCUCUCCUUUGUGGCAGCACUCAUCGUGUCAUUGUGCAUCUUUUCUGUGGUUAUGUCUUCUCCCUCUGCCGGACUCUACGUGUGCAGGCCCCCGGAGCCAUCAGACCUGCCUUCCCUUCGGGACUCCUUGAGCUGGGCCAGGUUUCCUUUGGGACUGCUUCGUGUCUGGGCCUGGUCCUCUGCUCAGUCCUACUAGCGCCCUUCUUUCUCUCCGCCCUGCUCAGGAUCUCCUUGGAGAUGAUCUCCCUGCCUAUCUGCUCAUCGCUUCUCGCUCCAAACCCUGUCUCCCACUGGGUUAAGUCCACCUUUCUGAGCUGUAUUAUCGUCCUGCUACAGUCCUUGGCGUGCUGAGUUGUUCCUUAGUAAUUCAUCUAAUCGGCAUCUUGGAGACCGAUGACUGCUGGCCUGGUUUAUUCCUAGGGUCCGGUGCAGUGCCUGGAGUUGGACAGUAACUGUGGGUUGGAUUUAUCAGUAAAUGGCUGUUUCUCA